rfam:Gasterosteus aculeatus cont1.003940, whole genome shotgun sequence.
UUAAAAGUGUAAUGUAAGUCGCUUUGGAUAAAAGCGUCUGCUAAAUGACAUGUA